GCAGUCGUGGCCGAGUGGUUAAGGUGAUGGACUAGAAAUCCAUUGGGGUCUCCCCGCACAGCUUCGAAUCCUGUCGACUGCG
rnacentral:tRNA from 1 species